CCUCCUUUUAAAGCCAAGCGCGACCAUUACAACCGUUUACAGUGACUGACUCAGUCACGUCGCUAACGCGGGCAGUUUUAUCGAGUUUGUUUAGCGAGUGUUAAACUUCGAUAAGACAGUCUCUUACAUUCCUUAUUAAGACAGCGCCGCCUGCCGGAUGACGCUUUCAGCUCCCAAAAAAGGAGGAUUUUCAGCUGCGUAGUUAACUUAGCUAAGUAGCUGACUGGGUCGAGUGGAGUGGCGACUGCAACGGUCAGAAUCUGCUUGUAAAAGGUGUUUCUCAUCAGAAAUCAUUUGAAGCUGAGCAACUGGAACAUCCUCUCUUUGGGCCUCAUCCAGUAUGGUGGCAGUCCAUAUCAUUCUCAACACUCAACUGUGCUCUUACCCAAGUGGCCUCAUCUUGAUGCUUCUUUCAUUACACUGAACAUCAUUGUCUGAACAUCAGCUAUGCGUGUGAGCUGGGUGCCAUGCUGGAGUUCAUGCAUAGGUAUUAUUUAAAGCCUUGUCACAUUUCUUUGUGUACUAAAUGCCUGAGAUGAUUUUAGAUGAGUAAAAUUAUGUAUACUGUACAUUAUA